rnacentral:tRNA from 1 species
GGGGUUGUUGCUCAUUGGUAGAGCGCUUGCCUUGCAAGCAUGAGGCCCUGGGUUCAAUCCUCAGCACCA